rnacentral:rRNA from 1 species
GAAGCGUCUGGAAAGGCGCGCGAUACAGGGUGACAGCCCCGUACACAAAAAUGCACAUAUUGUGAGCUCGAUGAGUAGGGCGGGACACGUGGUAUCCUGUCUGAAUAUGGGGGGCCCAUCCUCCAAGGCUAAAUACUCCUGACUGACCGAUAGUGAACCAGUACCGUGAGGGAAAGGCGAAAAGAACCCCGGCGAGGGGAGUGAAAAAGAACCUGAAACCGUGUACGUACAAGCAGUGGGAGCACGCUUAGGCGUGUGACUGCGUACCUUUUGUAUAAUGGGUCAGCGACUUAUAUUCUGUAGCAAGGUUAACCGAAUAGGGGAGCCGAAGGGAAACCGAGUCUUAACUGGGCGUUAAGUUGCAGGGUAUAGACCCGAAACCCGGUGAUCUAGCCAUGGGCAGGUUGAAGGUUGGGUAACACUAACUGGAGGACCGAACCGACUAAUGUUGAAAAAUUAGCGGAUGACUUGUGGCUGGGGGUGAAAGGCCAAUCAAACCGGGAGAUAGCUGGUUCUCCCCGAAAGCUAUUUAGGUAGCGCCUCGUGAAUUCAUCUCCGGGGGUAGAGCACUGUUUCGGCAAGGGGGUCAUCCCGACUUACCGACCCGAUGCAAACUGCGAAUAUCGGAGAAUGUUAUCACGGGAGACACACGGCGGGUGCUAACGUCCGUCGUGAAGAGGGAAACAACCCAGACCGCCAGCUAAGGUCCCAA